rnacentral:rRNA from 1 species
CAAUAGCGUAUAUUAAAGUUGUUGCAGUUAAAAAGCUCGUAGUUGGAUUUCUGGUGGGAGCGAUCGGUCUGGCGCUUAGCGCGAGUACUUGCAUCGUCUCCGGCCAUCCUUGGGGAGAGUCUGUCUGGCAUUAAGUUGUCGGGCAGAGGAUCCUCAUCGUUUACUGUGAAAAAAUUAGAGUGUUCAAAGCAGGCUUAUGCCGUUGAAUAUAUUAGCAUGGAAUAAUAAGAUAGGACUUUGGUACUAUUUUGUUGGUUUGCGCACCAAAGUAAUGAUUAAUAGGGACAGUUGGGGGUAUUUGUAUUCCGUUGUCAGAGGUGAAAUUCUUGGAUUUACGGAAGACGAACUACUGCGAAAGCAUUUACCAAGGAUGUUUUCAUUAA